UGGGGAAUAUUGGACAAUGGGCGCAAGCCUGAUCCAGCCAUGCCGCGUGAGUGAUAACGGCCCUAGGGUUGUAAAGCUCUUUCACCCACGACGAUAAUGACGGUAGUGGGAGAAGAAGCCCCGGCUAACUUCGUGCCAGCAGCCGCGGUAAUACGAAGGGGGCUAGCGUUGUUCGGAUUUACUGGGCGUAAAGCGCACGUAGGCGGAUCUUUAAGUCAGGGGUGAAAUGCCAAGGCUCAACCUUGGAACUGCCUUUGAUACUGGACAUCUUGAGUACGGGAGAGGUGAGUGGAACUCCGAGUGUAGAGGUGAAAUUCGUAGAUAUUCGGAAGAACACCAGUGGCGAAGGCGACUCACUGGCCCGUUACUGACGCUGAGGCGCGAAAGCGUGGGGAGCAAACAGGAUUAGAUACCCUGGUAGUCCACGCUGUAAACGAUGAGUGCUAGUUGUCGGCAUGCAUGCAUGUCGGUGACGCAGCUAACGCAUUAAGCACUCCGCCUGGGGAGCACGGUCGCAAGA
rnacentral:rRNA from 1 species